UACGAAGGGGGCUAGCGUUGCUCGGAAUCACUGGGCGUAAAGAGCGUGUAGGCGGCUUGAUAAGUCCGCUGUGAAAGUCCAGGGCUCAACCCUGGAAUGCCGGUGGAAACUGUCAAGCUUGAGUCCGGAAGAGGCGAGUGGAAUUCCUGGUGUAGCGGUGAAAUGCGCAGAUAUCAGGAGGAACACCAAUGGCGAAGGCAGCUCGCUGGGACGGUACUGACGCUGAGACGCGAAAGCGUGGGGAGCAAACAGG
rnacentral:rRNA from 1 species